rnacentral:rRNA from 1 species
GACGAACGCUGGCGGCGUGCUUAACACAUGCAAGUCGAACGGAAAGGCCCUGCUUUUGUGGGGUGCUCGAGUGGCGAACGGGUGAGUAACACGUGAGUAACCUGCCCUUGACUUUGGGAUAACUUCAGGAAACUGGGGCUAAUACCGGAUAGGAGCUCCUGCUGCAUGGUGGGGGUUGGAAAGUUUCGGCGGUUGGGGAUGGACUCGCGGCUUAUCAGCUUGUUGGUGGGGUAGUGGCUUACCAAGGCUUUGACGGGUAGCCGGCCUGAGAGGGUGACCGGCCACAUUGGGACUGAGAUACGGCCCAGACUCCUACGGGAGGCAGCAGGAGGGAAUAUUGCACAAUGGGCGGAAGCCUGAUGCAGCAGCGCCGCGUGCGGGAUGACGGCCUUCGGGUUGUAAACCGCUUUCGCCUGUGACGAAGCGUGAGUGACGGUAAUGGGUAAAGAAGCACCGGCUAACUACGUG